rnacentral:snoRNA from 13 species
AGCACGAAUGAUGAGUGACACAGGGACUUAAUACUGACACCUGCUGAUCCACACAAUGUGCUGAUGUGC